rnacentral:rRNA from 1 species
CGGGGUGAGUAACGCGUGGAUAACCUGCCUCACACUGGGGGAUAACAGUUAGAAAUGACUGCUAAUACCGCAUGAGCGCACAGUACCGCAUGGUACGGUGUGAAAAACUCCGGUGGUGUGAGAUGGAUCCGUGUCUGAUUAGCCAGUUGGCGGGGUAACGGCCCACCAAAGCGACGAUCAGUAGCCGACCUGAGAGGGUGACCGGCCACAUUGGGACUGAGACACGGCCCAA